GGCAACAAGCUAUGUUAGCAAAGGCUGCUGAUAAUUUGGUUCUGAAUAGGAGUUCUCUUUGGGCUCAAUUAGCAUUUUCGAAAUAUCGGUUUUCCACCUGGAGUGAUUACCAGUCGGUCAGAGGGACUUCUCCUUUGUGGCGCUCUCUGGCACGUUUGGCAAAAUGGAUCCAAGAUGGAUUUCAUUGGCAGGUUGUCAAUGGUCAAACUAUCAGCCUCC
rnacentral:lncRNA from 1 species